UGUUUGACUUCCGGCCUGUCGAGAUGAGUCGCUUAUUCAGGGAGGGAGGAGAUGUUUCUUAAUAUGGGUGGAAGUGUUAAAAUUUGUCAAUUACAUUUAGUCAGUUACAUUUAGCAAAUGCAAACGCUACUACAGCAAGGCGUUUGUGAGAUAAAUGAAUGAAGAAAUUUAAAACAACUUUUUCCACAUUGCAUUAGAACUACAAAGCUGACGCUGGAUUGCUAAAUGAGUUUAUUUUCAUUGAAAUAGCAUGGCAUGUUAGCUAGCUAGCCAUAGUUUUCUGUCUAGACUCUAGCCUGUAACUAAUGGUUGUUACGUUGUGGAACAGAGCAAUAGUUAUUUGUACUUGUCAUUUGGUUGAGACUAACGUUAGUUAGAAAAUAAUUGUUUACUUUGUGUAUAUUUGUUGUGUAAUUGGUUGGCUUUGCUAGUUAGCAAGCUGAGAUUGAUUUGCUCAAAUUGGCUAACUUAGCUAUUGGCUAAUUUUUUAAGAGAACAGGCUAGCUCCCUGCAGAAUCCAGAGUAGAGAAUGUGGGAUAAGAUCUGUCUGUUGCAGUGCCCAGACGAGCCACAACAUCAUAAUCAAGUACUCAAGCAUCCGCAGACCACCGAGGAGGAGGAACAUGUAUAGAAAAUGAAGUACUAGCUCGCUAAAUGAGCUGCUUUUCCUGAAAAUGUGUAUUUGAUAAAGCUACACUCUUAGAAGACAAUGUGCUAUUGCGACCUGGAAUGAAACCCCAAAAUGGUUCUACCUGGAACCAAAAAGGGUUAUACUAUGGGGACAGCUGAAGAACCCUUUUUUUCUAAGUGUAUCUAGUUCUUCUAUUGCAAUGUCCAUGUUACAGCCACAAGUUGAUGAUCAGGUAGUCAAGCACCUGAAGAUCAGCGGGGAGGAGAAAAGCCUGCCAUGGAUGAGCAAGCUAGAACAAUAACAACUAGCUAUAUCAGAUAAACAUGUUCAGGAAAAGCAGGGAGGGAGAGAGCUAGUAGUAGUAACAUUAUUAUUAUUUGAAACCUCACAUGCUCAUAAUCUGUAUCUGUGUUAUAUUUAAGCAAUAAGGCACCUCGGGUUUGUGGUGUAUGGACAAUAUAUCACGGCUAAGGGCUGUUCUUAUGCACAAUGAAAUGCCAAGUGCCUGGAUACAGCCCUUAGCCCUGCUAUAUUGGCCAUAUACCACAAACCCCUGAGGUGCCUUAUUUCUAUUAAAAACCUGUUUACAAACGUAAUUACAACAGUAAACAAGUAAUUUUGACUCAUACCUGUGGUAUACGGUCUGAUAUAUAUAUACCAUGGCUUGCUACAGUAUCUGUCUCAUGUUGUACUGAUCAUCAACAUGAACAAGACCUGAAUUCUAUUGAAUUGUCAACUGGUCUAAAUUCUUAUUAGAAAGAUGUUGCUGUUCAGAAUGACAUGUGUAUGACUGUUGGAUGUUCACAGGAAUCUCCAAAUGCCAUGUUGAACGAGCACCACGGAUGAAAGAGGCGGAGGAAAACAGACACAUCUUCACCAAGUCAUACAAUGUUUACUUCAUGAACAACUGUUACAUCAGAAAUAAAUACAAUAUUUUAGUUUAUUCUGUUUGUUUUUUUGUUAUGCUGGAAGUGAG